CCCUUAGACGUUCUGGGCCGCACGCGCGCUACACUAACGAAGGCAACGAGCUUUCCUUUACCGAAAGGUACGGGUAAUCUUUUGAAACUUCGUCGUGCUGGGGAUAGAUCCUUGCAAUUUUUGAUCUUAAACGAGGAAUGCCUAGUAAGCGCAAGUCAUCAACUUGCGUUGAUUACGUCCCUGCCCUUUGUACACACCGCCCGUCGCUACUACCGAUUGAAUGGUUUAGUGAGGCCUUCGGAUCCGCGACUCGUUUGUGGAGAAGUUGGACAAACUCAGUCAUUUAGAGGAAGUAAAAGUCGUAACA
rnacentral:rRNA from 1 species